rnacentral:snRNA from 1 species
UGAUGUGAUGAUAAUCUGGCAGCAACACCAGUCACCCACUGACCACCAGGUUGACUUGGCUGGUCUGGCCAGCUAGGCAAGUAUCAUCUUCUUCCCUCACUGCCCAGGUCUGUGCGUCCAGAGGCUUGGUGGAAGAGGACUGUUUGCUUGGGCAAGGGGAUCACAGUAGCUGCUCUCCCCUGCUGGUACCUCCAAACGAGCUACCAAAUUUCAGAUGAUUGGGGUGAGGUGUGUAACUCCUAUAUCUCAUUUCAUGAAGAAGUCUUCAUCUUGCAAUG